CUCGGAUUUGGAGGGAGAAGGAAGGGGGAAAAAGACCUGGAUCCCAGGGGCAGCAGGAGAAGCACCUGUGCGUCCUCCCCUCCCCCGGCUCUUUCCCUUCUCCGUUCCCCCCCUUCCCCGCCCCCAGCUCGCCCCCGCCCCCCAAAGCCGGUGCAGCAGUGGGUCCAGCACGCGCCCCACUUGUUCCCUUGCGCAGCCUGUCAGCCUUAGCCCAGAGGGAAGGAGCUAGGCUUGGGGGGGUAUACGGGGGGAAGUGGGGGGGGAUGUAAAGGUCGUGCGGCUGUGGGUGAUUUAGUAGCAGGGUCUGUAGUACAGGCUGUCCCCAGCAGCGGAGUCAGCGCGCCCCACGUGACGGCUCCGUCUUCAGGCUUUGGCUCUUCGGUGAGCUCCACAAACAGACGCACAUACACACACGCACACACACAUACACACACACACUCUCUCUCCCUCUCUCUCUGCUCUCCAUCCAGUCUCUCAUUUCUCUCCCUUCCUUAUUUCUUCCCCUCCUCUCGAUCCCUCUGAAUACACACACACACACACACACACACACACACACACACACAGACACACACACGCACACACAGACACACACACACAGACACAUACCCACCCGUACCGGCAGCAGCGGCGGCGGCAGCAGCCCGGCAGCUGAAGUCAGGGCAAACCUCUAGGUUCAGUCUUUAGUAACAGCAGCAUCAGUAAUAAUCCCAGCAAAGGAGAAGAGUUGAGGUUCCUUUUGCCUUUCUUUUCUUUUCUUUUUUUGGGGAGAUUUUUUUUUCUUGUUGUGUUGUUUUUUUUUUCCUCCCCAUUUUGUUUGCAUCCAGAGGAUGGCAGGCUGCGGGCUAUCGGAAGAUGCCUUCUUCUCUUCUUUCUUUUACAACUACAGCUCCUCCUGGGAAACCUCCUACAACCAGGUGUGUUGCGAAAAUCAAUGAACUAAUAUUGAUAAAAUUGGAGCCCCAUGGAUGAAAGGUACUUUAUGGUCACAUCUUUAGAUCCUGAAGGGAGAGAAGCAACACGUUCUCUCAGGAGUCCAAAUGCAGCAGCAGAUUUUGCCUCCAAGCAAUCUGACCUACUCAUUGCUGGAUCACCAUCCACGUCCCACCCCUUAACUGUGAGUGUGCCUCAAGUCUCUGCCCUAGGCCCUCUUCUCUGCUUUCUCUCUCUAUUCUUUCACUUUUUGACCUCAUCACCUCCCAGUGGAUUAAUUAUCAUCUCUGUGAAGAUGAUUCCUACAUCUAUAUAUCCAUUUCUAGCCUUUCUUCUGAGCUCCAGUCAUGUAUCUUCAACUGCUAUUUUAAAUCCGAGGUCCUAUAGGUAUUUCAAAUGCAACAGUGUCCCCAAACCCCCAAACACAUCCAUCUGA
ensembl:lncRNA